ACGCAUACAAACAACAAGUGAGAAAACAUCUUUCUCCAUCUGAAUAAAAGACUGGCUUCUCUGCCAUGAGGGCCUGCAGGCUUAGUUUGGGUCCAGUCUGGCCGGCGAUGAGCAGCCUCCUGCUUGCUGCUGGCUAGUUCGAAGGAG